GAUGAAGAACGUAGCGAAAUGCGAUAAGUAGUGUGAAUUGCAGAAUUCCGUGAAUCAUCGAAUCUUUGAACGCACAUUGCGCCUUCUGGUAUUCCGGAAGGCAUGCCUGUUCAAGAGUCAUUAACAACCGUUUCGAUCCCUUUCUUUCAGAAAUUACAAAGAGGAAAAGGGUUUGGUUAUGGUGGAGGAGGGAAAGGGAGCGUUUAGCCUGUAAAAAAAGAGGCUGUGUUCCGCCUCCCCCCCAAAAUUGUACAGGCGGUCGUGUGCGCCCACGCAUCGAGGUGUUGUAAAAGCUGCCACGGCACUUUUCACCUGUGCAGUGCGAGAUUGGCCAGCCGGUUUAAAAACCCCUCCAAACAAUCAAAGGUUGACCUCGGAUCAGGUAAGGAUACCCGCUGAACUUAAGCAUAUCAAUAAGCGGAGGA
rnacentral:misc_RNA from 1 species